UGGGGAAUAUUGCACAAUGGGGGAAACCCUGAUGCAGCGACGCCGCGUGAGCGAAGAAGGUUUUCGAAUCGUAAAGCUCUGUCCUAUGGGAAGAUAAUGACGGUACCAUAGGAGGAAGCUCCGGCUAACUACGUGCCAGCAGCCGCGGUAAUACGUAGGGGGCAAGCGUUGUCCGGAAUCACUGGGCGUAAAGGGUUCGCAGGCGGAAAUGCAAGUCAGUUGUGAAAGGCAGAGGCUCAACCUCUGUAAGCAAUUGAAACUGUAUUUCUUGAGAUGUGGAGAGGCAAGUGGAAUUCCUAGUGUAGCGGUGAAAUGCGUAGAUAUUAGGAAGAAUACCGGUGGCGAAGGCGACUUGCUGGACACAAACUGACGCUGAGGAACGAAAGCGUGGGUAGCAAACAGG
rnacentral:rRNA from 1 species